rnacentral:rRNA from 1 species
AUUGAACGCUCGCGGCAGGCCUAACACAUGCAAGUCGAACGAGUGGCGGACGGGUGAGUAAUGUCUGGGAAACUGCACGAUGGAGGGGGCUAACUACUGGAAACGGUAGCUAAUACCGCAUACCAUCGGAUGUGCCCAGAUGGGAUUAGCUAGUAGGUGGGGUAACGGCUCACCUAGGCGACGAUACCUAGCUGGUCUGAGAGGAUGACCAGCCACACUGGAACUGAGACACGGACCAGACUCCUACGGUAGGCAGCAGAAGGGAAUAUUGCACAAUGUGCGCAAGCCUGAUUCAGCCAGGCCGCGUGUAUGAAGAAGGCCGUCGGGUUGUGAAGUACGUUCAGCGAGGAGGCGUUACUCGCAGAAGAAGCACCGGAUAACUCCGUGCGAGCAGCCGCGGUAAUAC